rnacentral:lncRNA from 1 species
GACAGACAGGAGGAAAUGGGAAAGGGGCGAAGGGAAGGACAAGGAAAGACAGAAUGACAGACGGAGGAAAGGAACAAACGGACAGACGGAUGGGAGGGAAGGGACAAAGGGAGGGAAGGAGAGAAGGAAGGACAGACUGAGGGACGGGGGAGAGAGGAAGGGGACAAAAGGAGGGCGGGAGGGUGGGGAGAAGGAGGUAAGAAAGGGAUGAAGGGAGCGAGGGAAGAGGGACGGACAAAAAAGGCAGGGAUGGACGAAAGUACAGAGGGGGGCAGGGACGGACGGACAGAGGGGACGGGAUGGAAGUACAGAAGGGAGGAAGGAACUGGGACAGGGGUGGAAGGAAGGAGGAAAAGCAUAGAAGGAAGGACGGAUAAAGACGAAGGGAGGGAGGGAGGGAAGGAAGGACAGACAGAAGUAGGAAAUGUCCGAAUGGGGGAAGGAAGGACAGAGGGAUGACAGGACAGGAGUGGCACAGGGUGCGGGGAGGGGAGGGCAGCAGGGAGCAGGGAAGGAAAGGGCCGAAGGGUGGGAGGGGAGGACGGGGGAGAGAAGGGGUGGAAGGAGAGGAAACGAAGAAGGAAAGGAUGGAUGGAGGGGACAAAGGGAAGGACAGAAGGAAGUGGGCAAGGGACGGACGGGAGGGAUGGAAGGGCAGGAGGAGGACAGGGACGGAGGGCGCUGGGUGCUGUCAAGGCCGCAGGGAGGUCCCAGGGCAGCAGCAGGACGGAGCAGGAGCAGCUCCAGCACCUCCAGCACCACCGCGGCCCCAGUCGGUGCCAGCCCCAUGCCCACGCCACCAGGCCAUGGCCACCGGGACACGGUGGCUCCACCGCCUCCACUCACAGCCACCGCGUUCUGGCACUCCCAGAGGUGCCAAGAGGCCUCCGGCCACCUGCCCGGUGGUGGCCCCGCCACACGUCCCGGCCGAGCCCCUGGAGGUGCCACCACGGUGGGCGCCACCAGGGCGGGUGCCAUGGCCAGCACCAGGGACAGCGGCACCGGGUGCUCCACCAUGGACAGCGGCCACAGUGGCCACGGCGGGUGGCCCUGGUGGCCACAGCAGGUGACCCCGUUGGCCACGCCAUGGCACGGCACAGACACAACCCGGCACCGUGCCCCGGUGCCAGGUCCAGGGGAUGCGGCAGCAGCGCCGUGUCCCGGCUUCGGUGGCGCCUGGCUGCCCGCAGCGCCGCAUCCCCGGAGGGCGCCGCUGCCCCGACGCUCACGGGGACGCCGCCAGCGCGUGGCUCCGGUGCCACGGUGCCCGGGCACGGCUCCCGAGGCCCAUCCCUGCUCCACGGCCGGUGUCGCUGUCCCCGCUGCCGCUUCCUCCCGGUGUCACCGCCGCAGGGCCACGUCGCCUCGUGUGGCUCCCCAGCUCCGCUCGCUGCCACGUGUCCGCCGUGUGCCGGUCUCGACGCCGCCUGGGCGGGAACCGCGCUCCGUGCUCCGUGCUGAGCGGCUGCGCUGCCUCGUCCGGCUGCUGAGCAGCGGGUGCCGGUCCCGGUGGCACCGGGGCCUCGGGGACACCGCCACCGGCACCGGGCAGGGGGUGACGGUUUGGGGGCGGCCGCACUGGGCCCU